rnacentral:hammerhead_ribozyme from 1 species
AUCCAGUAGGUGACGAGUCCCAAGUAGGACGAAAUGUGCAUCCUGGAU